CAAUUCUUAAUUAACGUAUAAUAUGAACUUUGGAAGUUUAAAUCAAGACUUAAAAGUCUUAGAAUUGA
rnacentral:tRNA from 1 species